rnacentral:rRNA from 1 species
UAGGUGAACCUGCGGAAGGAUCAUUGUCGAAUCCUAGAAAGCACGACCGUGAACGAGUUUAUAAUUGGGGCGGAGUCGGCUUGCCUUCGGGCGACCGUCACCCCCCUGCCCGGCAGGGCGAGCGCCAUGCGGCGCUCCAACUCUGCCGGACAYAACGUACCCCGGCGCGAACAGCGCCAAGGAAUCAUGAACGAAUGAGCUCGCCUCCACGGCCCGUUCACGGGCGGUGAGGGGCGAKGGUCUAUCAAUAAAUACCAUAACGACUCUCGGCAACGGAUAUCUCGGCUCUCGCAUCGAUGAAGAACGUAGCGAAAUGCGAUACUUGGUGUGAAUUGCAGAAUCCCGUGAACCAUCGAGUUUUUGAACGCAAGUUGCGCCCGAAGCCUUUAGGCCUAGGGCACGUCUGCCUGGGCGUCACGUAUUGUGUUGCCCCCCACMCAUUCCUGCGUGGAGGGGCGAAGCUUGGCCUCCCGUGCGUYCCAUCUCGCGGAUGGCUUAAAAUCGAGCCUCGAGGGCGGCGACGACGUCGCGACAAGUGGUGGUCGGGAGGCCUUCGAGCCUCGUAGCUUUACGAGUCGCGUGUCCGCCGAUCCUCCUCGUGCCCGAAAGUAACCCGUASGGAGCGUCUUCRACGCUGCCAGCAUCGCGACCCCAGGUCAGG